rnacentral:miRNA from 1 species
UGUGUGUGUGUGUGUGUGUGUACAACACACACACACACACACACACACA